rnacentral:rRNA from 1 species
UGGGGAAUUUUGGACAAUGGGCGAAAGCCUGAUCCAGCAAUGCCGCGUGUGUGAAGAAGGCCUUCGGGUUGUAAAGCACUUUUGUCCGGAAAGAAAUCCUUGGCUCUAAUACAGUCGGGGGAUGACGGUACCGGAAGAAUAAGCACCGGCUAACUACGUGCCAGCAGCCGCGGUAAUACGUAGGGUGCAAGCGUUAAUCGGAAUUACUGGGCGUAAAGCGUGCGCAGGCGGUUUGCUAAGACCGAUGUGAAAUCCCCGGGCUCAACCUGGGAACUGCAUUGGUGACUGGCAGGCUAGAGUAUGGCAGAGGGGGGUAGAAUUCCACGUGUAGCAAGUGAAAUGCGUAGAGAUGUGGAGAAUACCGAUGGCGAAGCAGCCCCUGGGCCAAUACUGACGCUCAUGCACGAAAGCGUGGGGAGCAAACAGG